rnacentral:rRNA from 1 species
GUCUAUGGCCAUGCCACCCUGAACUUGCCUGAUCUCAUCUGACCUCGGAAGCUAAUCAGGGUCGGGCCUGGUUAGUACUUGGACGGGUAGAUCACCUGGGAAGACCAGGUGCUGUAUGUU